GUCCUUUCACGAGCUACGAGUGUAUCGGUCUCAUCAAGGACAAGAACAAUGUCAACGUAUUCAACACAACGGAAGUUGAAGUCCUGAUCGACUGUGAUCUUGAAAUAGACUUCACCAAUACCAGUACCACCAACACAUCCUCUCAGCAGACUUGGACCACGACCAGUAACAGAUGUAAAGACGUGAUUCAGAAAAAUCAUCGAAAAUCAUUUCAAACUGUUAAAUCAGACUUCAGUAGGAACCUGCUACAUUACUGAUCUGCAGCCCUACACGGUCUACACCUGCUGGGUCCAACCCUCCAACGACUUGGAAGUCAGGA